GAUGAACGCUGGCGGCGUGCCUAAUACAUGCAAGUCGAGCGAACAGACGAGGAGCUUGCUCCUUUGACGUUUGCGGCGGACGGGUGAGUAACACGUGGAUAAACUACCUAUAAGACUGGGAUAACUUCGGGAAACCGGAGCUAAUACCGGAUAAUAUAUUGAACCGCAUGGUUCAAUAGUGAAAGACGGUUUUGCUGGCACUUAUAGAUGGAUCCGCGCCGCAUUAGCUAGUUGGUAAGGUAACGGCUUACCAAGGCAACGAUGCGUAGCCGACCUGAGAGGGUGAUCGGCCACACUGGAACUGAGACACGGUCCAGACUCCUACGGGAGGCAGCAGUAGGGAAUCUUCCGCAAAGGGCGAAAGCCUGACGGAGCAACGCCGCGUGAGUGAUGAAGGUCUUCGGAUCGUAAAACUCUGUUAUUAGGGAAGAACAAAUGUGUAAGUAACUAUGCACGUCUUGACGGUACCUAAUCAGAAAGCCACGGCUAACUACGUG
rnacentral:rRNA from 1 species